GAUGAACGCUAGCUACAGGCUUAACACAUGCAAGUCGAGGGGAAACGACAUCGAAAGCUUGCUUUUGAUGGGCGUCGACCGGCGCACGGGUGAGUAACGCGUAUCCAACCUGCCCACCACUUGGGGAUAACCUUGCGAAAGUAGGACUAAUACCCAAUGAUAUCUCUAGAAGACAUCUGAAAGAGAUUAAAGAUUUAUCGGUGAUGGAUGGGGAUGCGUCUGAUUAGCUUGUUGGCGGGGUAACGGCCCACCAAGGCUACGAUCAGUAGGGGUUCUGAGAGGAAGGUCCCCCACAUUGGAACUGAGACACGGUCCAAACUCCUACGGGAGGCAGCAGUGAGGAAUAUUGGUCAAUGGGCGAGAGCCUGAACCAGCCAAGUAGCGUGCAGGAUGACGGCCCUAUGGGUUGUAAACUGCUUUUAUGAGGGAAUAAAGUGAGCCUCGUGAGGCUUUUUGCAUGUACCUUAUGAAUAAGGACCGGCUAAUUCCGUGCCAGCCGCCGCAGUAAAAC
rnacentral:rRNA from 1 species